AAAAGCUCGUAGUUGGAUCUCAGCUCGGGCCGGACGGUCCGCCUACCGGUGGUUACUGUUCGCUGCUCAGCGUUCGGUCGGAUGUACCCGAUGAUCUUCACCGGUUGUCUCGUGCGUCCGGCAAGUUUACUUUGAAAAAAUUAGAGUGCUCAACGCAGGCGUGAUGCCUGAAUAUUUGUGCAUGGAAUAAUGGAAUAGGACCUCGGUUCUAUUUUGUUGGUUUUCGGAACACGAGGUAAUGAUUAAGAGGGACAGACGGGGGCAUUCGUAUUGCGACGCUAGAGGUGAAAUUCUUGGACCGUCGCAAGACGAACUACUGCGAAAGCAUUUGCCAAGAAUGUUUCCAUUAAUCAAGAACGAAAGUUAGAGGUUCGAAGGCGAUCAGAUACCGCCCUAGUUCUAACCAUAAACGAUGCCAGCCAGCGAUCCGGCUGUGUUCCUCAAAUGACACGCCGGGCAGCUUCCGGGAAACCAAAGCUUUUGGGUUCCGGGGGAAGUAUGGUUGCAAAGCUGAAACUUAAAGGAAUUGACGGAAGGGCACCACCAGGCAUGGAGCAUGCGGCUCAAUUUGACUCAACACGGGGAAACUUAUCCGGCCCGGACACAGGAAGGAUUGACAGAUUAAGAGCUCUUUCUUGAUUCUGUGGGUGGUGGUGCAUGGUCGUUCUUAGUCCGUUGGGUGACUUGUCAGGUUAAUUCCGAUAACGAACGAGACUCUAGCCUACUAAAUAGACGUUCCGGUCCUCUUUAGCCGGACGUUCUUCUUAGAGGGACAAGCGGCGUCCAGCCGCACGAGACAGAGCAAUAACAGGUCUGAGAUGCCCUUAGAUGUCCGGGGCCGCACGCGCGCUACAUUGAAGGAGUCAGCGUGUUCUCUCCCUGUCCGACAGGACUGGGUAACCCGUUGAACCUCCUUCGUGCUGGGGAUAGAAAAUUGUAAUUAUUUUUCUUGAACGAGGAAUUCCCAGUAAGCACGAGUCAUCAGCUCGUGUUGAUUACGUCCCUGCCCUUUGUGCACACCGCCCGUCGCUACUACCGAUUGAAUGAUUUAGUGAGGUCUUCGGAUUGGCGCUCGGAUUGGCCUUCGCGGUCGAGCCGACGUGCCGAAAAGACGAUCAAACUUGAUUAUUUAGAGGAAGUAAAAGUCGUAACAAGGUUUUC
rnacentral:rRNA from 1 species